UAUAUUCUUCCUCCGUCUGAAAAUUCAUGUAUUAGGUUUGUCUAAAAAUAGAUGUAUCAAAAAUUAAAACAUGACUAGAUACAUUCAUAUCUAGACAAAUCUAAGACAAAAAUUUUAGGACGGAGGGAAUAGUUU
rfam:Hordeum vulgare subsp. vulgare, WGS project CAJW01000000 data, contig: morex_contig_161157